UUGAUGAACCAAAAUGCCUUUUUUCUCCAGGGUGGCUCACACUUACCCCAACUUACCUGUUCCUAUCCUGGGACUUCAAAUUACAGUGGAUAACACAGGACUAAGACUUCUUACAGGUAAAGAUAUUGACAUGUAGGUGUCGUAUCUCUGACUUUCCACAUGGGCAGAGACAGAUCAAUUCAUCUAUGUCUGCCCCUGCCUCCACUAGGUAGUCCCUGCCCUUACCUCACAACUGCUUGAGCGUAAAACAGAGAACAGGUCCUGCCAUGUUAACCUGCCUUGAUGUGGGCUGGGAAUUAAGUAGAGGUUUUCUAACCUUCUGGGAGUGUUAACAGGGGACUUUUGGAAUCCUAGAUUUUGGACACAGCUACUAUAUUUCUUAUGGGUCAGACUGUGAAAUGGAAAUAGCUUAAGAAAGCUUGAGAGGAGUGAAUGGAAAGACAUAUUAGAGCCAAGAGUGGCCCCUCCAGGAAGAAGGGAACAGCAGAGAAGAACAGAGUAACAUAUAAGAAUAUGGUACCCAGAUAGCCUAGACUUCUACAGUGGCUCCAACUUAAAACAAUCUGUCCCAACAAAGGAAAAACAAAAACAAAAAAAAUCCACAAUCUGUCCCAUGGUUUACAUUAAAAACUGAAAGUAAUCAAAACCACAGUAAGAUAUUACUUCACACCCAUUAGGAUGGCUAUAAUAAAAAAGGCAGAUAAAAACAACUGAAUAGGCCGGGCGCGGUGGCUCACACCUGUAAUCCCAGCACUUUGGGAGGCUGAGGCAGGUGGAUCACAAGGUCAGGAGUUCAAAACCAGCCUGGCCCAAAUGGUGAAACCCCAUCUCUACUAAAUAUACAAAAAUUAGCCAGGUGUGGUGGCAGGUGCCUAUAAUCCCAGUUACUCGGGAGGCUGAGGCAGGAGAAUCGCUUGAACCUGGGAAGUGGAGGUUGCGGUGAGCCGAUAUUGUGCCACUACACUCCUGCCUGGGUGACAGGAUAAGGCUCUGCCUCAAAAAAAAAAAA
rnacentral:lncRNA from 1 species